UCCAUCCUUGCUGCGCAGAGCGCUGCCAACACCGAGGCUUGGGCUGCGCGGGGAGCAGGGGUGCCCUCGAUCUGCCCCGUGCGGAGCCUUCACUGCCCCGGUGUGUGUAACCUCAGCGCUACCCCCGUGCCCGCUGGUGCCGGGCUCCUCGCUGUGCUGCAGGCAAACACAAAGGAUCGAUGUUCGGUGCCGGGUGUGUAUUUACCCGGCUCGCCUGCAUUGGUGCGGUGCUGAAGGGAGCACGCGGCAGCCGAGGGCAGUAGACACAAGGGGUGUUUCCAUGAACUCCCACCAGCACUGUCAGUGCUUCUUGUAAAUCCCGGACACUCAGAGGAAGCAGAGGACAUCUACAAUAAGAGGAGGCAGUUAGAGUCAAAGCACACCUCACAAGAG